UUGAUUCACUUUUGUUAGUGGGUUUGUUAGGCCCAUUUCACACUGGCGAGAAUUCCACGUGGGUCCAAUGCGUGAGGGGAACGCAUUGCACCCGCACUGAAUCCGGACACAUUCAUUUAUAUUGUGCUGUGCACAUGAGCGGUGAUUUUCACGCAUUACUUGUGCUU